rnacentral:rRNA from 1 species
CCUACGGGAGGCAGCAGUGGGGAAUCUUGCGCAAUGGGCGAAAGCCUGACGCAGCCAUGCCGCGUGAAUGAUGAAGGUCUUAGGAUUGUAAAAUUCUUUCACCGAGGACGAUAAUGACGGUACUCGGAGAAGAAGCCCCGGCUAACUUCGUGCCAGCAGCCGCGGUAAUACGAAGGGGGCUAGCGUUGCUCGGAAUUACUGGGCGUAAAGGGAGCGUAGGCGGAUAGUUUAGUCAGAGGUGAAAGCCCAGGGCUCAACCUUGGAAUUGCCUUUGAUACUGGCUAUCUUGAGUACGGAAGAGGUAUGUGGAACUCCGAGUGUAGAGGUGAAAUUCGUAGAUAUUCGGAAGAACGCCAGUGGCGAAGGCGACAUACUGGUCCGUUACUGACGCUGAGGCUCGAAAGCGUGGGGAGCAAACAGGAUUAGAUACCCUGGUAGUCCACGCUGUAAACGAUGAGUGNUAGUGUCGCAUGCAUGCAUGUCGGUGACGCAGCUAACGCAUAAGUACACUCCGCCGUCGGGUAGGUACGGUCGGCGAAGAAGUUAAAACGUUAAAGUUAGAAGUUAGACGGACGUGAGACGUGACCGAACGGACGACGACGAGGGAGGUUAGG